CGGCAUGCCUAAGACAUGCAAGUCGAACGAAGUGGCCCAAUGAAGAAUGCGAGCUUGCUCAAAUUCGGAUUUGGUUUACCACUUAGUGGCGCAAGGGUGAGUAACACGUGGGUAAUCUACCUUCGAGUCUGGAAUAACAGUUAGAAAUGAUUGCUAAUGCCGGAUGAAAUUGGGAACGAAAUUUCAUUCUUUAUUAAAAGGAGCCUUUAAAGCUUCGCUUGAAGAUGAGCCUGCGACGUAUUAGCUAGUUGGUGGGGUAAGGGCCUACCAAGGCAACGAUGCGUAGCCGACCUGAGAGGGUGAUCGGCCACACUGGGACUGAGACACGGCCCAGACUCCUACGGGAGACAGCAGUUAGGAAUAUUCGUCAAUGGGGGAAACCCUGAACGAGCAAUGCCGCGUGAAGGAUGACGGUCCUAUGGAUUGUAAACUUCUGUUGUUAGGGAAGAACGACUAGUGUAGGAAAUGACACUAGAGUGACGGUACCUUUCAAGAAAGCUCCGGCUAACUACGUG
rnacentral:rRNA from 1 species